rnacentral:rRNA from 1 species
UACGUAGGGGGCAAGCGUUGUCCGGAUUUAUUGGGCGUAAAGAGCGUGUAGGCGGCUAGGUAGGUCCGUUGUGAAAACUCGAGGCUCAACCUCGAGACGCCGAUGGAAACCAUCUGGCUAGAGUCCGGAAGAGGAGAAUGGAAUUCCUGGUGUAGCGGUGAAAUGCGCAGAUAUCAGGAAGAACACCCGUGGCUAAGGCGGUUCUCUAGUACGGUACUGACGCUGAGACGCGAAAAGCGUGGGGAGCGAACAGG